rnacentral:rRNA from 1 species
UGGGGAAUAUUGGACAAUGGGGGCAACCCUGAUCCAGCAAUGCCGCGUGUGUGAAGAAGGUCUUCGGAUUGUAAAACACUUUCGACGGGGACGAUGAUGACGGUACCCGUAGAAGAAGCCCCGGCUAACUUCGUGCCAGCAGCCGCGGUAAUACGAAGGGGGCUAGCGUUGCUCGGAAUGACUGGGCGUAAAGGGCGUGUAGGCGGUUUACACAGUCAGAUGUGAAAUCCCCGGGCUUAACCUGGGAGCUGCAUUUGAUACGUGUAGACUAGAGUGUGAGAGAGGGUUGUGGAAUUCCCAGUGUAGAGGUGAAAUUCGUAGAUAUUGGGAAGAACACCGGUGGCGAAGGCGGCAACCUGGCUCAUGACUGACGCUGAGGCGCGAAAGCGUGGGGAGCAAACAGGAUUAGAUACCCUGGUAGUCCACGCUGUAAACGAUGUGUGCUAGAUGUUGGGUAACUUUGUUAUUCAGUGUCGCAGUUAACGCGUUAAGCACACCGCCUGGGGAGUACGGCCGC